rnacentral:lncRNA from 10 species
GGGCGAGACUCUGUCUCAAAAAAAGAAAAGAAAAGAAAAGAAAACUGGGUGCAGUCACCCAAAGAAGAGGGAAGGGGCACGGGACAGGCAGAAACAGCUGAUGACCACCAGCACUGCGUUUCUCCAUUUGACAAAGAAUCCAAAGCUCCAAGAGGGGAAGUGUCUUUUGUCUGGAGCCUCGGAGCUGAGGUGGAAACUGAGGCUAAGAACGUAAAGCGACUUGUCCAAGUCACACAGUCUUGGAAUGGUAAGGCUGGGACUUGGCCGAGGUCUGGAAUGACUCCAAUGCCUGUGCUCUUUUCUUGAAUAUUUUCUCAAUGGGGUGCUGUUGACAAUGUGUGUAGGACUGUCCUGCGCAGGGCAGAAAUCUUAGCUGGCUAACAACCAAAAUUUGCAACCCUUCCUCCGCCCCACAUAUCCAACUUCCACCCUCAGAAAGCUACCUCUGUCCCUGGAUAACAACCUCAACCACCCUCACCAGCUCUGGUUCCUUUCCGUGGGCCCAGGGACUCACAUAGAGAAAGCAUUUGGCCGGGCGUGUUGGCUCACGCCUGUAAUCCCAGCACUUUGGGAGGCCAAGGCGGGAGGAUCACUUGAGCCCAGGAGUUCAAGACCAGCCUGGCCAACAUGGUGAAGCCCCGUCUCUACUAAAAAUACAAAAACUAGCCAGACGUGGUGGCACAUGCCUGUAGUCCCAACUACUCAGGAGGCUGAGGCAGGGGAAUUGCUUGAACCCGGGAGGUGGAGGCUGCAGUGAGCCAAGAUCAUGCCACUGCACUCCAGCCGAGGUGACAGAGCGAGACUCUGUCUCAAAAAAAAAAAAAAAAAAGAGAAACUAUUUAAUAAAUGUUUCCUGAAUGAAUGAAUGGAAUACUCUUGAGUUGAUCAAAGAGGACUAGGUGUGAAUCCCAGCUGUACCAUUUACUAACCAGAUGGCAUUGAGCAAGCUACUUAAAUCCUCUGUGUCUCAGUUUCCUCGUCUAUAAAAUGGGGGGCAAUCCUAGCACCAUCCUCAUAGGGUUGUUAGGAGGAUCAAAUGAGUUAAUGCUUGUAAAAGGCUCAGGACACUGCCUGGUGCUUAAUAAGGCUUUCACCAGCCUUUGUUAAAUGGAUGAAUGAAUGAAUGACUAUUUAUAUGUUUGUAAACUAUAAACUCUGAUUACAGUUCACACACACUUUGGCUUUUGUUAUCUUGUUUGAUCCUCUCCAUCACCCUGCAAGAGAGCAUUAUGUACAUUUUACAGAUAAGGAAACUCAGGCAAAGAGAGAUGAGAUGACUCGGCUAGAGAUUUCUGCUUGUUGAACUGCAGUUCCAAAAUUUCAGGCUCUGGCUUCUCUCUAUGUGUGCUAUCCCCACAAAUAUACAUAUUUUAAGCCAAGAAUGAACAAGAAAUGAAGGAGCUGCUGGGAUCCUGAUCCCAGCCCCUCAGAGCAGCUUGACAGGGAGAGCUGCCCCGGCUCCACAGCUGGGAGGAGUCAGUCUUCCCUCCAUCCAACCUGGGGCUCUCUUGUGGGGCUGCCCAGUAGUUGUGUGGGGUAAAUGUGGGGUGUUUGUGUUGGUGGGGAGGGAUGUGUGUGUUGUGGUGGGGCGGGGUUAUGUGAGUCACCAAGGCACCGGGGAAGGAGGAGGCCCAGCCAUCCAGCCAGGACCACAGGACCACAAGAAAGAACUGGGUGGUGAGUAGGACGUGCAGCCGGCUGCCCAUAGCCACCCACUCGUGAGGAGAGGAGCACCAGCUCUGUGAGCACCCCAGAGACUCCAAACCUGAACCCCUCCUCCAGGCCACCCUUAGGACAGAAACUGGGAGCCUCCUCGGGGCACCUGACACCCAGCACACAGGCGUGACCUCGCUGCUCUGUGAUUCCUUCAGUUCCACUGCACCCAUCCUGCAAAUACUCAGAACAUGACAUCUUGGCCAACCUCCAGACAGGCCCCGGGAGUCCUCACCUCUCAAGAAGCUCCGAGAUGAUGGGGUGAGCCUCAGGAACAGAAGACAAAGCACAGAGGAGAGCGCUGGGAACCUCCUUGGAGGGACUCACCUGCCAGAUUCUUAGGAGGAUCUUAAUUCCCAAGUGCUAAAGGUCCACAAACCAGCACCUGACCUGUUGCCACCUCACUGAGGCCACAAGUUCCAUGACUAGGCCUUCACCUGCAAAGCGUCUCUGGGCUGCCCACUCCCUUAUCUUCUCACCUCUUCUCUGACAGACCAUUCAGCCUACCUUGUCUGCACCCCAGUCUCCUCUGACCCUCACUCUCAGUCCCCCAGCAACCCCCACCACCCUAGCUCAUCACUCCCGCUUGCCUCCCCUGCCAUCCUUUGGUUGCUGUCACCCUAAACCAUCUAUGGUUUUCUGUCACUCUCUUGGCAAAAAGGGACACACUGACCUGGGUUUACAUCACACUGUCUGUGUGAUCUUGGCCUUGUUGCUUCAAUUCGUUGGGCCACAGUUCCCCCACUAUAAAAUAGAAGUAUUUUGUGAGUGUUCAAUACAACAAUGGAAGCAAAAAUACUUACCACAUAUUAGAUGCUCAACAAAUAUUACAUUUUCUUUUCUUCAAAGUCUGCUACCUAUGAACUGGGUUAAGAAACUGAGAGGGGAGACUUUCUGACCUUUAUGUUCCCCUUCAUUCUCCUUAAAAAAAUUUUUCCAGCCAGGGAUUCAUCCAAACAGAACUUCUCAGGGAAAGUGAAGAUUCUGCGGGAUAUUUAUUCUCCACUGGAACAUGCUGUAGCCUGGGAGGCAUUUAUGACUCACCUUUGGGGUAUGUCAAGGGGAUAUCUGCACGUCUGGGUUCAUUUCAGCAUUAUUCCCAAUAGCCAAGAUAUGGAAGCAACCUAAGUGUCCAUCAACAGAUACAUGGAUAAAGAAAAUGUGGUGGCCAGGCGUGGUGGCUCACGCCUGUAAUCCCAGCACUUUGAGAGGCUGAGGCGGGUGGAUCACGAGGUCAGGAGUUCAAGACCAGCCUGGCCAAGAUGGUAAAACCCAUCUCUACUAAAAAUACAAAAAUUAGCCAGGAGUGGUGGCGUGCGCCUGUAAUCCCAGCUACUUGGGAGGCUGAGGCAGAGACUUGCUUGAACCUGGGUGGCAGAGGUUGCAGUGAGCCGAGAUCGAGAUUGUACCACUGCGCUCCAGCCUGGGCAACAGAGCAAGACUCCAUCUCAAAAAAAAAAAAUAGAAAGAGAGAAAAUAUGGUAUGUAGAUGCACUGGAAUACUACACAGCCUUUAAAAAGACAGAAACAUUCACAACAUGGAUGGAACUGGAGGACAUUAUGCUAUGUGAAAUAAGCCAGGCACAGAAAGACAAGUACUGUAUGACCUCACUUAUAUGUGAAAUCUUACAAAGUCACUCUCAUGGAAGCAGAGAAUAGGGAGGUGGUUACCAGAGGCUGGGAGAGGGAGGUGGGGAGGAGGAGAAAUGGGGAAAGGAGAGAUGUUGAUGAAUGAAUGCAAAGUUUCAGUUAGGAAGAAGAAGUCUUAGUGAUCUAUUAUACCUGCAUGGUAACUAAACUCAGUUAAUAAUAAUGUAUUAUAUAUUUCAAAAUUGCUAAAAGAUUUUUAACAUCCUCAUCACACACAAAAAAAUUACAAGUCAGUGAAGUGAAGGAUUUGUUAAUUAGCUUGAUUGAAUCUUUCCACAACAAAUACACAGAUAAAAUCAUCAUAUUAGCCAGGAGCAGUGGCUCACACCUGUAAAUCCCAGCAUUCUGGGAGGCCAAGGUGGGCAGAUCGUCUGAGCUUAGGAGUCUGAGACCAGCCUGGGCAACAGAGUGAAACCGUCUCUUAAAAAAAUGAAAAGAAAAUUAGCCAGGCAGGGUGGCAUGUGCUUGUAGUUCUGCUCAGGAGGCUGAGAUGGGAAGAUUGCUUGAGUCCAGGAGAUUAAGGCUGCUGUGAACUGUGAUCAUGCCACUGCACUCCAGCCUGGGUAACAGAGCAAGACCCUGUCUCAAAAAAAAAAAAAAAUCAUAUUUGAUAUGGUUUGGCUGUGUCCCCACCCAAAUAUCACCUUGAAUUGUAAUAAUGCCCACAUGUCAAGGGUGGGGCCAGGUGGAGAUAAUUGAAUCAUGGGGGUGGUUUCCCCCAUACUGUUCUCAUGGUAGUAAGUCUCACAAGAUCUGAUGAUUUUAUAAAUGGGAGUUCCCCUGCACAAGCUUUCUUGCCUGCUGCCAUGUAAGAUGUGCCUUUGCUUCUGCUUUGCCUUCCAUCAUGAUUGUGAGGCCUCCUCAGUCAGGUGGAACUGUGAGUCCAUUAAACCUCUUCCUUUAUAAACUACCCAGUCUUGAGUAUGUCUUUAUUAGCAGCAUAAAAACAAACUAAUACACAUUGUACCCCAUAAAUACGCAUAAUUAUUAUUUGUCAAU